UCCCUAACGCUAGAGUCAAAGAAAAGCUUUAAUAAGAAGAACACUUAAGAAAACUCUACCCAAUUUAAAAAAAAAACAAAAAUCGGAAACGUUUUGUGUCUUAAGAUUUUCAAAAAUUAAAGCUUUAAUUUAUACUUGAGUCAAGAAAAGAAGAAGGAAAAGAAAUUCAAUUUUGGGAAAAAUAAAAAAAUAAAAAAAAUAACAAUAAUAGGAA
rnacentral:lncRNA from 1 species